rnacentral:rRNA from 1 species
GUAGCCGGCCUGAGAGGGUGGACGGCCACAUUGGGACUGAGACACGGCCCAAACUCCUACGGAAGGCAGCAG